rnacentral:ncRNA from 1 species
AUUUGGCAAAACUAUUGAAAAAUAGUGACGCAAAGCUACAGGGCUUAACCGUAAGGAAUGCUGGCUGAGUUGC